CCGGACUAUUAUUAAUACAUUAUAUGAACCCAAUGGUUUUACUUGUCUUACUUUCUCUCUCUCCCCCGCUGAAACCCUAGAUCUGGUUCACUAUCGGAGCCUGAAAAUCCCAUUGCUCUGCUCCAAGUUCAAGUACUUCUUCAGGGACACUGCUAGGUAACAGAGUUUAAUUGCUCAUAGUCUCUACUUUCUUACCACUGAAUUAAUAUAUUACAUUCCCUCUAUUUUUUUUAAUAGUAUUUGGUUUUUCUUUUGUAGUUACUUGAUAAAUUUUAUUUGAUUGUAAAACAGAAAAAAUUUAGAAACAUUGUUGUUCUUCAUCUUCUAAAGUUCUUAAAUAACUUGUAAAAUAAAAUUAUUAUAUUUUUAAUUUUACAUUAUUUACGGAUACAUAUUUCCUGUUCUCUCCUAUCUUAUUCUUCUUCUAACCAUUUUUCCCAUUCACUAGCUUUUAUUUUGAAAUUAUAUAAAGGUACGUAGAGUGUCAAGUUUAAUUUUACAUUCCUUACGGAUCAGUGUUCAGAUCCAGUCAUUUUUCUUGUGAUUAUUUUUGAAUUGACUGAUUUUAAAACUAACUUAAGGUUUUAUUUCAUCCUUUUUUGCGCUCCUUUGCUACGGGUGGGGCCUCACCAGUGGUAACAGUGACAAUCCCUCCCCCCUUUGUUCGGCUUCAUGGUAUUUUGUGUGUAUUUUAGGUUAGAGUAUGUGGCUAUUAGCGGUGAAAGGGACGUGCGUGUGCAAACAUUGAAGAACAAGUCGGGCGAGUGUCAGCAAGGGCCGGCGGGAGUUGGACGCGAACGUGCUGGGUGGCCGCAACAUCGUCGUAUAUACCAAGACAAUUCC
rnacentral:lncRNA from 1 species